rnacentral:rRNA from 1 species
CCUACGGGCGGCAGCAGUGGGGAAUAUUGCACAAUGGGCGCAAGCCUGAUGCAGCGACGCCGCGUGAGGGAUGACGGCCUUCGGGUUGUAAACCUCUGUUAGCAGGGAAGAAGAGAGAUUGACGGUACCUGCAGAGAAAGCGCCGGCUAACUACGUGCCAGCAGCCGCGGUAAUACGUAGGGCGCGAGCGUUGUCCGGAAUUAUUGGGCGUAAAGAGCUUGUAGGCGGUUUGUCGCGUCUGCUGUGAAAGGCCGGGGCUUAACUCCGUGUAUUGCAGUGGGUACGGGCAGACUAGAGUGCAGUAGGGGAGACUGGAAUUCCUGGUGUAGCGGUGGAAUGCGCAGAUAUCAGGAGGAACACCGAUGGCGAAGGCAGGUCUCUGGGCUGUAACUGACGCUGAGAAGCGAAAGCAUGGGGAGCGAACAGGAUUAGAUACCCCGGUAGUC